rnacentral:rRNA from 1 species
GUCUAUGGCCAUACCACCCUGAACAAGCCUGAUGUCUGAUCUUGGAAGCUAAGCAGUGUUGGGCCUGGUUAGUACUUGGAUGGGAGACCACCUAGGAAGACCAGGUGCUAUAGGUA